GAAUUGGAAGAGCAGUUCUAGUUUAACAUUUCAAUUUUCAACAUCCCGCGUUCAGAUGUUCACUUCCCACUUAAUUUUGAACCUCCCUCCAAAUCCCCCAUUUUAGGUUAGCUAUCAGAUUCAUUUCAUUUCUCUUCCCAUCACCACAGUCCUCCACUUGCUUGCCGAUCUCCAUCAGCCAUGGCACAUCGCUUUUAUAAUUUGGUCUGGGUUAUGAUUUCAUCGCACUCCAAUACCCUCUCCGCCCACUGCCUUUGCGUCUUCAUGCAAAGCAAAUUCGCUCAGCACGAUUGGAUCUGAGGAUGAACACGCACCAACUUUUCAAGACGCGAGCCCAACACCUGCAGUCGUAGUGGAGUCAUCAGGACUCAGAGCAAGUGAUUACGGGGUGAAAGGUUUGAUCGAUUUUGAGUCCUUGAUCUUACUCUGAAGAAGAAGAAGAAUCACCUAGACACUGAAGGUUUUGAGGAUCUUUAAAUACCUAAUUCGGAUAUGGAAAGUGCUUGAGAAUGCAAGACUGGACUUGUCUAUGUUUUCUUACGACUAUAUUCUAGGUGACUGGUUUGAGGAAGAAGCCAUCUUCACUGUUGUGACUGCAGGUGCUAAAUAAGACAACUGGUGAGAUUUGUAUGCUCAGACCUGAGAGCUAUGAUUAGUUCAAUUACAAAGAUAUCCACCUGCAAGUAUGCAGUUGCAAUUAAAUGCCCCACACUUUGCAAGCAUCCGUAAGCCUCUUCUCUAUUUAGUGAAUCUAAUGGCUACUUUCAACCAACAGAUUAUUCCUAUCAGAGAGACCGGUAUGGCAGACCAUUAAUUGUAAUGUACUUUCCCAAGGAUUACAAGGAAACCCAAGUUGAGGAUGAAGAAUCUAAAAUUAAGCAUAUGGUUAUGGUCAUAGACAGUGAAUCUCAUUCCAAUGAUGAAUCUGACAAGUAACAUUUUGUAAAUUCAGAAAAUUUUGAGAAUGCUAAUGAUAGCCAACCUUAUGUAAUGUUGUAUUCUUUUGCACCUUUCACAAGUUUAUGAAAACCUAGUCAUUGAUUGUCCUUUUAACAUUGUUGCCGUAAUAUUUCGAGAUGGAUAUCAUAUCCUGAAUUGAUACUCGUAAAUCAGAAUGUUUAUACCACAUUUACUUAAAAGCAGCAAAUAUGCUUUUUUAUAAUUCCAGAAAUGGUGAAAGGCGGGUUAGAUA
rnacentral:lncRNA from 1 species